rnacentral:tRNA from 1 species
CCGAACUGCAAAUUCGGAGACGUACCCCAGGUACCGAGACUUCUCCCGUUU